GCCAAGGGUGUUAAAAUAUUCACACGUGAAACACAUUUUUAUUUUUAAAACAAGCCGUCCCUUGGCGUUGGCCGAGUUACACAUUCACGUGGGGGUUCGACGUGAAGUGAGCUCUAAUACUACCCCGAGAGUUACCCUCCUCGCCUCUACAACCGGAAUAACUAUAUAACUGGGUUUACCGUGCCCAUCUAAUAGGCAGUCCACGGAAACCCGUCACUGCAGUGACUAACCCACCAAUUUUAAUAAAAUUUCGACAGUAUAACGUGACUUUUAUU
rnacentral:lncRNA from 1 species